CCCGGACCACGUGUCUGCCCUCCCAGCCGGAGCGCCCACUCGCAGCACAGACACUUCCGCCCGGACCACGUGUCUUCCCUCCCAGUGUGAGCUGCGGCUCACAGCACAGACACUUCCGCCAGGAUCACGUGUCUGCCCUCCCAGCGAGAGCUCCUGCUCGCAGCACGGACACUUCCGCCCAGACCACGUGUCUCCCCUCCCAGCGCUAGCUCCUCCUCGCAGCACGGACACUUCCGCCCUGAUCACGUGUCUCCCCUCCCAGUGCGAGCUCCUGCUGCAGCAUGGACACUUCCGCCUGGACCACGUGUCUGCGCUCCCAGCCGCGAGCGCUCGCAGCAUGGACACUUCCGCCCAGAUCACCUGUCUCCGCUCCCAGCGCGAGCUCCCGCUCGCUGCACGGACACUUCCGCCCGGACCACGUGUCUGCCCUCCCAGCGCCAGCUCCUGCUCGCUGCAAGGACACUUCCGCCCGGGCCACGUGUCUACCUUCCAAGCACGAGCGCUCCUGCUGGCGGACACUUCUGCCCGGAGCCACGUGUCCGCCCUCCCAGCACUAGCGCUCCUGCUUGCAGCAGGGACACUUCCACCGGACCAUGUGUCUGCCCUCCCAGCGUGAGCUCCUGCUCGCAGCAGGGACACUUCCACCCGGACCACGUGUCUGCCCUCCCAGCGGGAGCUCCUGCUGGCAGCACGGACACUUCCGCCCGGAUCACGUGUCUCCCCUCCCAGCGCCAGCUCCGCCUCGCAGCACGGACACUUCCGCCCUGAUCACGUGUCUCCCCUCCCAGUGCGAGUUCCUGCUUGCAGCACGGACACUUCUGCACUGGCUUCACUUUCCCUCCAUAUCACACCACACCUGUCUUCCCAUUUUGCUAUAAAGGCUUAGGAUAAUUGUUUUUAAUGGUUGCCAGAGCAUUUCUUCUAUGGAAAUAUCAUUAUGUAUUUAACUUCGUAUGAGGUAUUUGGGUCACUUACAAUUUCUAUUAAAUUAUGCCCCGAUGCAUAUUUUUGGGUGCAUAGCUUUUUCCAUAAUUAGAAUUGGAAGGAUAGAUUCUCAUGAAUGUGAUUGCUGGAUGAAAGGAGUGAAGACAUUGGCAAUUCCAGAUGCGCAGCGUCCCACGGCUUUCCAAAAGCACCUUGGCACUCCCAGCUCAGCCACCCUAGGCAGCAGCUAUUUCACUUAAUUGGAUAAAUGAAGAAAUGGGACCCUACAGUCUUUUUUUUUUUUUUUUUUGAGACCGAGUCUCGCUCUGUCGCCUAGGCUGGAGGGCAGUGGCACAGUCUCGGCUCACUGCAAGCCCCGUCUCCUGGGUUCACGCCAUUGUCCUGCCUCAGCCUCCCGAGUAGCUGGGACCACAAGCGCCCGCCACCGCACCCAGCUAAUUUUUUGUAUUUUUAGUAGAGACGGGGUUUCAUCAUGUUAGCCAGGAUGGUCUCGAUCUCCUGACAUCGGGAUCUGCCUGCCUCGGCCUCCCAAAGUGCUGGGAUUACAGGCGUGAGCCACCACGCCCAGCGGGACCCUACAGUCUUUAAUUCAUAUUUCCUCAUCACUAGAAGGGCUGGAUAGUUCCCACUCUAUUUGCUUAUUAGUUGUAUUAAUUCUUUUUUAUAAAAUGUGGAUAUUUUGCCUGUUUGUUUGGGAGUUAAUGCUUUUUGUUUUUUGGAAUCAUGGUCUCUCUCUGUUGUCCGGGCUGGAGUGCAGUGGUACAAUCACAGCUCCCUGAAGCCUCAAUUUCUGAGCUCACGUGAGCCUCCUUGCCUCAGCCUCUAUCAUCAGAGCAGGCUGCUCGGUUAUGGACUCAGAGUGCUGAGAUUAUAGGCGUGAGCCACCGUGCCCAACUCUUAAUGCUUUUGUUCUCAUUUUGUGUCAGCUUUAUGUAACAAAGAUCUCACACUGUCAUCCUUAUUGCAAAUAUUUUCCUAAGUCUAUGUUCCUUUUAUUUUGGUUCAAAUGUAUAUAGUCAAAUCAAUGUCUUUGUAGAUCCCCCAUCCUCUCAAAGUUUAGAAAUUAUCCCUUUCUGUAUGUUUAAAAUAAUUAAAAUUUAAAAGGUAUCUUCCCAUAGAACUUUUGUAAAUGAGAAAUUUAAAAAUUUCUCCUAUUAAAAAAUUGUUUUAAUCCUUUUGUCUUCUGUUUAUUACAGUAGUGCAUGCUCAUUAGAGAAAGCUUAGAAAAACAUAGAAAAAAAUAAAGAAGAAAAUAAAAAUCAUCUGUAUUCCAAGGACACGAUGUUGGAAAUAUUGUAUUAUAUUUGAGGCUGUGCCCCCGACUCCCAAGAGCACCACACAUGUGUGCGCUCAGAUGGGGCUCAGAGAACAUAAUCAUCAUUGGGAAAUGCAGUUUUAAACCAGGCAUGGUGGCUUAUGCCUGUUAAUCCCAGCACUUUGGGAGGGUGAGGUGGGAAGACUGUUCGAGCCUAGGAGUUUGAGGUCAGCCUGGGCAACAUAAAGAGACCCCAUGUCUACAAAAAAUACAAAAAUUAGCCAGGCGUGGUAGUGGGUGCCUGUGGUCCCAGCUACUCAGGAGGCUGAGGCAGGAGGAUCGCUUGAGCCCAGGAGUUCAAGACUAGCCUGGCAGCAUAUAUGACCCCAUUUCUAGAAAAACAUACAGAAGUAGCCAGGUGGCGUAUGCCUACAAUCCCAUCUACUCAGGAGGCUAAGGCAGAAAAAUCACUUGAUCCCGGAAGUUUGAGGCUACAGUGAGCUGUGAUCGUACCACUGCACUCCAGCCUGGGUGACAGCGUGAGACCGUCUCAAAAAACAAAAAACAAAAAAACCCAUACAGUUUUAUACCCAGCUCUUGACACUGAACGGCAUACUGCAGUCUUCCUGCCUUUCAGUGAAUGACAGGAGAUGUGGGCCCAAAGAGAUGUGUGUUCCAAGCUGCCAAUCAGUUCCGCCAACACCAUAAGAAAUGCUUCUGCAAAGAGGAAGAACAGAUGGUGGAGAAGCCACCAGAGCUGCAGUAAAUGCAAGUCCUGGCUUCACUGCAAGCCACGUCUCUCGGGGUUUGUGUGCCCAAUUUUCUGGACUGUGAGGUGAAGGCUGGAGUAAUUUGGUGCAAGAGGUUGUUAGGAGUAACAUUCAGUAAAAAUCUGAAAUGCAACACCCUGGGCCCCCAUCCAAGAGGCCCGUGGGAGAGGGGCUGAGGGAGGCUCUGGAGUCGCUGCCUCGGGAGUUCUCUGUGCUCUGCCUCCUUGUCUGUGAAACGGGGUCACAGUUCCCACCACACAGGCCGGCUGUGAGGGUAGAUGAGCUGACGGCCCUAAGGCUUGCAGAGCAGCGUCUGGCAUAAAGUGUUUAAUGCCCCGAGUGCACGUCAGCAAUCGCCAGCUUUGUUUUUUGUUUGGUUUUAGAGACAGGGCCUUGCUCUGUUGCCCAGGCUGGAGUGCAGCAGUGCAGUCACAGCUCACUGAAGCUUCGAACUCCUGGGCUCCAGGGAUCCUCCCGCUUCAGCUUCCUGAGUAGCUGGGGCCACAGGCGCACACCACCACGCCUGGCUAACUGUAUUUUAUUUAUUUUUAAAUUUUAGAUUCAGAGGUGCACGUGCGGUUUUUUUCAUCUUUUUGUAGAGAUGAGCUCUUGCCGUGUUGGCCAGGCUGGUCUCGAACUCCUGAGCUCAAGUGAUCCUCCCACUUCAGCCUCCCAAAGUGCUGGGAUUACAGGCGUGAGCCACCACGCCCAGCCAGUAUUUUCUUUUCUAAUUUGGAAACAGUUUUGAAUGCAACUGACAAAGAACAAUUUUGGGUAUUUUUCCAAGUCUCAGGAAAAAAAAGGUGAGUCCCUACCAGGCACAGAGAUUGUGUAAGAACGAUCUUAGCAUCCUCAGAUGCAGAGCACGACCACCCUGGUGCACACAUCCAACAGGAGGCGGGGGCACUCGGAGCUGCAGGCGGGAGCGGGAGGGCCGGGGAGGCAAACGAGGAAGAGCUACCGCGGCGAGUUCACGGCCCGUGGAGCAGCGCGGGCCGUGUGUCCCAAGGCACUAUGGCUGCUGAGCGGACGUCUCCUUAGGGUUCUGCAGUGGAUCUUGCCCCGCGCUGAAGCCCCACUGGGCCACACUGUCCAUCCCAGGAAAAGUGGCUGAUCCGCAGGCUCAAAGAGAACCACAGAAAUGCUGGUCUCAGAGGGGCUGGGGCUAAGGCCCCCAUGUCACACACACAGCACCCAUGCGGCUAGACAUCUAGAUUCUGCAACAAAAUCCAGACGUAUUUAAGAAGCCAGGCUACAAAACAGGCCACGGAAAAGCACACUUUGAAGGUUUCACAUGAAAGCGUGUGCCCGGGCCAAGUGGAAGAGCUGCGUCCCACAGUCUUCAAUGCGAUGCUCCUUAAAAUGCUGCUUCUCCCCAGGCAAGAGUGACUAUUGGGUACUUUUAACAACACGCUUCAGUGAACCACAGCUCAGCUGGUCGGCGCUGGUACCUGCUGAGCACCUGGGGGAGCAGGUGUGUAGCCUGAGUGGGGCCAGGCACGGCACGCCAGCUGUCGGGACGGCUCACCUGACUGUGCGACGCGGUCACCCGCUCCAGGAGGGGACCAAUGUG
rnacentral:lncRNA from 1 species